rnacentral:lncRNA from 1 species
GGGACAUGGGGACAGGGACACAGAUGAAGGAAGCCUUGGGGACAAGGAGACAGGAUAAGGAUGGAGGGCUUGGGGACAUGGGGACACAGGGAUGUGGGGAUAUGGGGACAUGGGAGGGCUUUGGGGACACGGGGACACAGGGAUGUGGGGUCACAGAUGUUGGGAGAGCUUCUAGGAUGAGGGAACAGGGACAUGGGAACGAGGACAGAGAGAUAGGGACACAGAUAUAGGGUUUAGGGACAUGGGGACACAAGGCUUGGGGAUGUGGGAACACAGGGACAUGGGGACACGGGGACAUGGGGAUAUGGGGUCAUGGGAAUAUGGGGACACGGGGAUAUGGAGAUAUGGGGCCAUAGGGCCGUGGGGACGUGGGGACACAGGAAUAUGGGGAUGUGAGGACAUGGGAACACAGGGACACAGCGACAUAGAGACACAGGGAUAUGGGGACACAGGGACAUGGGGACACACGGAUAUUGGGACGUGGGGACAUGGGGACACGGGGACAUGGGGACACGGGGACAUGGGGAUGUGAGGACACGGACACGGGGACACAGGGACAUGGGGACAUAGGGACACAGGGAUAUGGGGACAUGGGGACACGGGGACACAGGGACGCAGGGAUAUGGGGACAUAGGGACACAGGAAUAUGGGGACAUGGGGACACUGAGACACAGGGACACGGGGACACAGGGACGUGGGGAUGUGAGGACACGGGGACACGGGGACAGGGAUAUGGGGACACAGGGACAUGGGGACACAGGGACACGGGGACACGGAGACGCUGAGACACAGGGACAUGAAGACACAGGAACAUGGGGACACAGGGACAUGAGGACACAGGGACAUGAGGACACGAAGACACAGGGACAUGAGGACACGGGGACACAUGGCUGCCCUGACCAGGUCCUGCAGCCGCUCCUCCUUGGGGACGUCCCCCUGUCCCUUCAGCCAGCGGAUGUAGUCCUCCUCCUCGCAGGCCUGGGGGUGGGGGGGUCACAGCGUCACCCCCCGUGUCCCCAAAGUGUCCCCACCGUGUCCCCCCUCCCCCUUCCUCACCUUCUCCUCUGCCGUCCGAUGGCGGCGCCGCAGCAGUGACCCCCCCCCUUCCUCCUCCUCCUCCUCCUCCUCAUCGCUCUCAGCCAC